rnacentral:rRNA from 1 species
GACUGCUGCGCCACGGCCGCCGGGUCGAGCCGCGCGGGCCCGUCGAAGAGCCGCCGCAGCGCCGCCGUGCGGGACCGCGCCGCCGGGAACACCGGCUGCAGGAAGUCGAAGUGGUGCAGCGUCACCAGCGGCACCACCGGGUGGGAGCCCAGCAGGCCCAGCACGUCGCCCCAGAUGUCGCACUGGUGGAACCCCAGGUGGCGGGUGAGCGGCACGCCCAGCUCCGACAUGCAGGCGUGGAUGCGGUCGUCGCUGCCGUACAGCGCCGGGUAGCGGUGCAUGCACCCGUCCUGCAUGCGCGCCAGCUGCGCGGCCAGCGCGCGGCUGAUGGCGAAGCCGCCGCCGCCGAACGCCAUGCCGUAG